GGAUUAUAAUAUAUAGUUCUGAGAAGAUAGUUAUUCUUUAAUGAUGGUAGUGCUAGACUAGACUCCUAGGAUUUGACUUUUCACUCAGCCUAUUUAUCCCCAUGUACUUACCCCAUCCAAAUUCCCAGUGAUCUGUGUGCUAUGCAAUACUAUGAAGCUACAGUUUUUUUUUUAGGAAUUAACCACUUUGCACAGACCGUGCUAGAAGACCAGGCACUGCGUAACCCUGUAUCUACAAUCUGAUAAGAUAAUGCGUGAACACAGAAGUUCUGAUAAAGCACCCCAAAGCAUUGAAGAUAGAUCCACGUCGAGAAAAUGGGGCAUUUUCAUUUACACAUACAUAACACAUCUCCCGCCAACAAUAAUCAGUUACCCAACCUCUCCAACUAUCAAUAAAACCCUCAUGAUCCUGUGGAACUAAUUGAAAAUGUAAAUAACUUUUUGUUGUAAUAAAAUAAUAAUACACCCAUCUGCCCAAAUGGACCAAACUCCUUUGAUCACAGAACCAAACCUACCAUUCUUACACUUGGAUGGGUUAGCAAGACUGUUCUACAAUGUACAUUGUCUAAUUCAUGCAAUUUGAUCCAGCAGAAGGUACGAUUAUGGUCAGGCUCUAAAAUUUAGUAGCAGUGAAAUCAUGAUAUCUAAGCUCAAACAAUAUAAUAAAAAACCGGUGUCUGCCA